rnacentral:rRNA from 1 species
AGGAAGCGAGAAGUCGACGCGCCCGCACGCGAGGCGUCCGGCCCUCCGCGAGCGCCCGCGGGGGUUCGGGUUCCGGACCCGGUCCGGGCCCGUCCCCGCCGCGGGGCUGUCGGCCGGGGGUGUCCCCGGACGGCGUCGACGCCCCCCCGACUCCGGUCGGGGGGGUUCUCCGGUCCGCGACGCUACGGCUUGGAUGGUCCACCCGACCCGUCUUGAAACACGGACCAAGGAGUCUAACAUGCGCGCGAGUCGUUGGGUCGGACACGAUCCGCGAAACCCAUAGGCGCAAUGAAAGUGAAGGCCGCCGGCCGGGCGGCCGAGGGAGGACGGGGCCUCCGCGAGGAGGGCCCCCGCACCCCCGGGGCGUCUGAUCCCUCGUCGCGAGGGGAGGCGCACCCAGAGCGCACACGUUGGGACCCGAAAGAUGGUGAACUAUGCCUGGCCAGGACGAAGUCAGGGGAAACCCUGAUGGAGGUCCGUAGCGAUUCUGACGUGCAAAUCGAUCGUCGGAGCUGGGUAUAGGGGCGAAAGACUAAUCGAACCAUCUAGUAGCUGGUUCCCUCCGAAGUUUCCCUCAGGAUAGCUUGCGCUCGGAGGAGAGUCUCAUCCGGUAAAGCGAAUGAUUAGAGGCCUUGGGGCCGAAACGGCUUCAACCUAUUCUCAAACUUUAAAUGGGUGAGAACUCCGGCUUGCUCGAAGCCGAAGCCGGAGUGCACGGUGGGAUCGGAGUGCAUAGUGGGCCACUUUUGGUAAGCAGAACUGGCGCUGUGGGAUGAACCAAACGACGGGUUAAGGCGCCCGAAUCGACGCUCAUGGGAAACCAUGAAAGGUGUUGGUUGCUUAAGACAGCAGGACGGUGGCCAUGGAAGUCGGAAUCCGCUAAGGAGUGUGUAACAACUCACCUGCCGAAGCAACUAGCCCUGAAAAUGGAUGGCGCUGAAGCGUCGUGCCUAUACCCGGCCGUCGCGGCAGGGCGGGCCGCGGCCGGCGUCGCCUCUCCGGGGGGGGCGCCGGUCGAGCGGUGCCGCUUGACGCGGCGACGAGUAGGAGGGUCGCGGCGGCGCGCGCAGAAGGGUCUGGGCUCGAGCCUGCCUGGAGCCGCCGCCGGUGCAGAUCUUGGUGGUAGUAGCAAAUACUCCAGCGAGGCCCUGGAGGACUGAUGUGGAGAAGGGUUUCGUGUGAACAGCCGUUGCACACGAGUCAGUCGAUCCUAAGCCCUAGGAGAAAUCCGACGCGGACGGCGACGGGACGAAUGAAUGUAAUGAACCCGUCGAUCGGGCGAAAGGGAAUCCGGUUCCUAUUCCGGAACCCGGCAGCGGAACCGCUGUUUGUCGGGCCCUCAAAAGGGGUUCGUCAGGGUAACCUAAAAGGGCCCGGAGACGCCGUCGGGAGCCCCGGAAAGAGUUUUCUUUUCUGCAUGAGCGUUCGAGUUCCCUG